rnacentral:rRNA from 1 species
GAUGAACGCUAGCGGCAGGCUUAAUACAUGCAAGUCGAGGGGCAGCAGUUUUGUAGCAAUACAGAAGCUGGCGACCGGCAAACGGGUGCGGAACACGUACGCAACCUUCCUUUAACUGGAAGAUAGCCCACCGAAAGGUGGAUUAAUACUCCAUAACAUAUUGAAGAGGCAUCUCUUUGAUAUUAAAGCUCCGGCGGUUAAAGAUGGGCGUGCGUCUGAUUAGGUAGUUGGCGGGGUAACGGCCCACCAAGCCUUCGAUCAGUAGCUGAUGUGAGAGCAUGACCAGCCACACGGGCACUGAGACACGGCCCGACUCCUACGGGAGGCAGCAGUAAGGAAUAUUGGUCAAUGGACGCAAGUCUGAACCAGCCAUGCCGCGUGGAGGAUGAAGGCCCUCUGGGUUGUAAACUUCUUUUCUUUGGGACGAAACCCCUGUUUCUACGGGGACUGACGGUACCAGAGGAAUAAGCACCGGCUAACUCCGUGCCAGCCGCCGCGGUAAUAC